rnacentral:rRNA from 1 species
CUGGUAGUCCACGCCGUAAACGAUGUCUACUUGGAGGUUGUGCCCUUGAGGCGUGGCUUCCGGAGCUAACGCGUUAAGUAGACCGCCUGGGGAGUACGGCCGCAAGGUUAAAACUCAAAUGAAUUGACGGGGGCCCGCACAAGCGGUGGAGCAUGUGGUUUAAUUCGAUGCAACGCGAAGAACCUUACCUGGUCUUGACAUCCACAGAACUUUCCAGAGAUGGAUUGGUGCCUUCGGGAACUGUGAGACAGGUGCUGCAUGGCUGUCGUCAGCUCGUGUUGUGAAAUGUUGGGUUAAGUCCCGCAACGAGCGCAACCCUUAUCCUUUGUUGCCAGCGGUCCGGCCGGGAACUCAAAGGAGACUGCCAGUGAUAAACUGGAGGAAGGUGGGGAUGACGUCAAGUCAUCAUGGCCCUUACGACCAGGGCUACACACGUGCUACAAUGGCGCAUACAAAGAGAAGCGACCUCGCGAGAGCAAGCGGACCUCAUAAAGUGCGUCGUAGUCCGGAUUGGAGUCUGCAACUCGACUCCAUGAAGUCGGAAUCGCUAGUAAUCGUGGAUCAGAAUGCCACGGUGAAUACGUUCCCGGGCCUUGUACACACCGCCCGUCACACCAUGGGAGUGGGUUGCAAAAGAAGUAGGUAGCUUAACCUUCGGGAGGGCGCUUACCACUUUGUGAUUCAUGACUGGGGUGAAGUCGUAACAAGGUAACCGUAGGGGAACCUGCGGUUGGAUCACCUCCUUA